CGGGAGGCGGCAGGCACAUGUCGCGGUCAUGAAUCAACCGGGAAUGAAGAAAGACGGCUGGGUCAGAAUAUUUGAAGUGCCAUGUUUUGAGAAGCAUGAAAAGGGAUAUACCAUCUACAAAAUCACAUCCAAAGUUUUUCCAUGCUUAUCUCCUGAAGCAAGUACUCAAGUCACUGUAUGGAAAAGGUACAAUGAGUUCAGGAAGUUACACAAGGAAAUGGAGUCUCUGCAUUCUGCACUCUAUUUGAAGGGAACAUUUCCAAGUUUGCCCAAGACAAGCUAUUUUAACAGAUUCGAGGCACCGGUGGUGGAAGAGCGGCAGGCGUCCAUCCGUGCCAUGCUUGAGUUUGUGGCCCAACA